rnacentral:rRNA from 1 species
UACAGAGGGUGCGAGCGUUAAUCGGAAUUACUGGGCGUAAAGCGUGCGUAGACGGUUCUGUAAGUCGGAUGUGAAAUCCCCGGGCUCAACCUGGGAAUGGCAUUUGGGACUGCAAGGCUGGAGUGCGGCAGAGGAGACUGGAAUUCCUGGUGUAGCAGUGAAAUGCGUAGAUAUCAGGAGGAACACCGGUGGCGAAGGCGGGUCUCUGGGCCGAUACUGACGCUGAGGAGCGAAAGCGUGGGGAGCGAACAGG